rnacentral:rRNA from 1 species
UACGGAGGGUGCGAGCGUUGUCCGGAAUCACUGGGCGUAAAGCGCGUGUAGGCGGCCCGGUAAGUCCGCUGUGAAAGUCGGGGGCUCAACCCUGGAACUGCCUUUGAUACUGUCGAUCUGGAGUAUGGAAGAGGUGAGUGGAAUUCCGAGUGUAGAGGUGAAAUUCGUAGAUAUUCGGAGGAACACCAGUGGCGAAGGCGGCUCACUGGUCCAUUACUGACGCUGAGGUGCGAAAGCGUGGGGAGCAAACAGG